rnacentral:rRNA from 1 species
UACAGAGGUCUCAAGCGUUGUUCGGAUUCAUUGGGCGUAAAGGGUGCGUAGGCGGCGCGGUAAGUCGGGUGUGAAAUCUCGGGGCUUAACUCCGAAACUGCAUUCGAUACUGCCGUGAUUGAGGACUGGAGAGGAGACUGGAAUUUACGGUGUAGCGGUGAAAUGCGUAGAUAUCGUAAGGAAGACCAGUGGCGAAGGCGGGU